rnacentral:tRNA from 4 species
GGCCCCAUAGACUAAUGGUUAGGUCAUCAGCCUUUCACGCUGACAGUAGCGGUUCGAAUCCGCUUGGGGUCA